UUGUCCUACGGGGGGCAGCAGUGGGGAAAAUUGCACAAUGGGGGAAACCCUGAUGCAGCGACGCCGCGUGAGUGAAGAAGUAUUUCGGUAUGUAAAGCUCUAUCAGCAGGGAAGAAAAAAGACGGUACCUGACUAAGAAGCCCCGGCUAACUACGUGCCAGCAGCCGCGGUAAUACGUAGGGGGCAAGCGUUAUCCGGAUUUACUGGGUGUAAAGGGAGCGUAGGCGGGCGAGCAUGUUGAAUGAUAAAUCUA
rnacentral:rRNA from 1 species